CCUAGGAGCAACUGGCGCGCGUACUUCCAGUGUAGCAGGAAUAUGGAGAAGCUCAAAGAUCCCUACUUGCAGAGACAGUUGCUGAAGCACAAGAAACGUGACAUCGCAGACUUCUUCAUGGUGUUGCCCAAAACUCAGCACGACUCGGAUAACUUUGUGGUGGAUAUUUGGCUUGAGAGGGAAACGAUGCUCUGCUUUUCCGUCAGUGGCGUGUUCAAGGAAAGUGAGUGUCCAUAGAAGCCCCCGUCCAGAUCCCCUGCUG